rnacentral:rRNA from 1 species
AGUCGAACGCGCAGCGAGAGGUGCUUGCACCUUUCAAGCGAGUGGCGAACGGGUGAGUAACACGUGGAUAACCUGCCUCAAGGCUGGGGAUAACAUUUGGAAACAGAUGCUAAUACCGAAUAAAACUUAGUAUCGCAUGAUAUCAAGUUAAAAGGCGCUACGGCGUCACCUAGAGAUGGAUCCGCGGUGCAUUAGUUAGUUGGUGGGGUAAAGGCUUACCAAGACGAUGAUGCAUAGCCGAGUUGAGAGACUGAUCGGCCACAUUGGGACUGAGACACGGCCCAAACUCCUACGGGAGGCUGCAGUAGGGAAUCUUCCACAAUGGGCGCAAGCCUGAUGGAGCAACGCCGCGUGUGUGAUGAAGGCUUUCGGGUCGUAAAGCACUGUUGUAUGGGAAGAAAUGCUAAAAUAGGGAAUGAUUUUAGUUUGACGGUACCAUACCAGAAAGGGACGGCUAAAUACGUGCCAGCAGCCGCGGUAAUACGUAUGUCCCGAGCGUUAUCCGGAUUUAUUGGGCGUAAAGCGAGCGCAGACGGUUGAUUAAGUCUGAUGUGAAAGCCCGGAGCUCAACUCCGGAAUGGCAUUGGAAACUGGUUAACUUGAGUGUUGUAGAGGUAAGUGGAACUCCAUGUGUAGCGGUGGAAUGCGUAGAUAUAUGGAAGAACACCAGUGGCGAAGGCGGCUUACUGGACAACAACUGACGUUGAGGCUCGAAAGUGUGGGUAGCAAACAGGAUUAGAUACCCUGGUAGUCCACACCGUAAACGAUGAAUACUAGGUGUUAGGAGGUUUCCGCCUCUUAGUGCCGAAGCUAACGCAUUAAGUAUUCCGCCUGGGGAGUACGACCGCAAGGUUGAAACUCAAAGGAAUUGACGGGGACCC